ACUGGAUAUGUUAAACUUACUUACCCGAGUGGAAGACAGGUUGCCAAACAUAGGAACCCCAACUUCAGUAAUGAAACAGAAAGAAUAAAUAGCGCUCAAAGUCCACUGCAGGUUUAAUCUUCACAAAACAAAAGGUAACAAACAAAGGGAAAGGUCACAUUAAACACCUAACGCGUUUUGAACCUACAGGUCCUUAGACAUAGGUCUCCUGGGAGCCGAUUAACCCCUUAAGGACACAUGACAUGUGUGACAUGUCAUGAUUCCCUUUUAUUCCUGAAGUUUGGUCCUUAAGGGGUUAAACCUCCUGUGGACUUUGAGCACUUGCAAUGGCGUUAUUAACAUUUCUUUCUUGACCAUGUCUAGGGCAGAGCAAUGAAAGGUUAGCUCCUGCAGUUUCCUGAAAUUGUCAAGAACAUUGAUUAAG